AAUGUCUCCAUUGAUUAAAUAAAACCUGGAGGUGCGGGUAUUAUUAAUUUAGUGCAGUGCGCCACAGCAAAGGGAAAAAUAACGCAGCCAAACCGUUGAAGAACACCUGGACCCUUAUUGAAGAAUAACGGUGGAGAAUAACGCUUCCACAUAUCAAACUAACAUCAAUAGCUGCGUCGUUUGGCUCGGCACCUCUCUCUCUUCACAGUGGAGGACGGCUGUCUACAGCAGGGCUGGGGGAUAUGAGGAAAAUCUAAUAUCCUGAUAUAUUUUUGCUAUA